rnacentral:rRNA from 1 species
GCAAGUCGAACGAAGUAGCAAUACUUAGUGGCAGACGGGUGAGUAACAUGUAGGUAUCUUCCCUUUGGCCUGGAAUAACACGAGGAAACUUGUGCUAAUACCGGAUAAGUCUUUACGGAGAAAGCUUUAUGCACCAUUGGAUGAGCCUGCACUUGAUUAGUUUGUUGGUGGGGUAAUGGCCUACCAAGACUAUGAUCAAUAGCUGAUUUGAGAGGAUGAUCAGCCACAUUGGGACUGAGACACGGCCCAAACUCCUACGGGAGGCAGCAGUGGGGAAUAUUGCACAAUGGAGGAAACUCUGAUGCAGCGAUGCCGCGUGAGUGAAGAAGGCCUUUGGGUUGUAAAGCUCUUUCGUCGGGGAAGAAAAUGACUGUACCCGAAUAAGAAGGUCCGGCUAACUUCGUGCCAGCAGCCGCGGUAAUACGAAGGGACCUAGCGUAGUUCGGAAUUACUGGGCUUAAAGAGUUCGUAGGUGGUUGAAAAAGUUGGUGGUGAAAUCCCAGAGCUUAACUCUGGAACUGCCAUCAAAACUUUUCAGCUAGAGUAUGAUAGAGGAAAGCAGAAUUUCUAGUGUAGAGGUGAAAUUCGUAGAUAUUAGAAAGAAUACCAAUUGCGAAGGCAGCUUUCUGGAUCAUUACUGACACUGAGGAACGAAAGCAUGGGUAGCGAAGAGGAUUAGAUACCCUCGUAGUCCAUGCCGUANACGAUGUGUGUUAGACGUUGGAAAUUUAUUUUCAGUGUCGCAGCGAAAGCGAUAGACACACCGCCUGGGGAGUACGACCGCAAGGUUAAAACUCAAAUGAAUUGACGGGGACCCGCACAAGUAGUGGAGCAUGUGGUUUAAU